rnacentral:lncRNA from 1 species
GAAAAUGUUCCCCCGAGCUUCCUGAGGCUAAAUUUAUCUCCCCCGGCCCUGGGGGGCGCAGAGAUCCCGGCGACGAUUAGCGCUGCGCCGCAGCCGGCUCCCGCCCAGAGGCCCGGAAUAGGCGCCGAGUUAUAAAUAGUGCCGCCCGCAGGUGUGGGGGGAGUCGGCGGGAGGGGGCAACCCUGGCAGCCACGGCCCCUUCAGGCCCCCAGACCCACUUACUCAGGACCCCGCCGAGGCAAAGCCUUGCCUUUCUUCCCGCCAGAAGCCCUCUCUCCUCCAGGAUCUGCAAGCUUCUAACUCCUCUGCAGCUGCCCUUUGGCGCACGUGGCCCAGCCAGUCCGGGCACCUGGCCUUCACCCCAGCCCCAGGUAUACAGUCCUCCUUACGAGGGGUUAACUCCCAACUGGGACUUUCAUCCCUCUUUUUGGCCAAACACCUCACUCUUCGGGUAUUUACCCACCUCCUGCUGCUUUCUCCCUCAAAUUAAGGUCUAGCUGGUCGCCUGAAGAUUUAAGUGUGAACGUGCGGAUCUGGGACGCUCCCCUAUCCCCAGGAGGCCCCUGCAGGCCUCACACCUGCCCUCCAGUUCCCAGUUCCAGUCAGGGCCUGGUGGCGGGGCGGGGGUGGCGGCAGGCCCCUGGGGCCCGGCCGGGGUUUCGUGGGAGGGGGCGGGGCCCCCAGUCAGCGUUUCUUGGCCGCCGCUGUCUCAGUGGUUUGGCGCGGUAAAGGCCCGGAGUUGGGGGGUAGGCGGGAAUUUCAAGUCGGGGUUCCCCCCUCCGACGUCUGAGCGAGUAAGGGAGCUGUGUGGACCACAAGAAGAGAAACCGGGAGGGGGUCACUGAGCAACUAACAGGAGGUUCCAGGACUGUCGAGACUCAAGUGGGGAAUGGCAUUCCGGCCACUGAAAGAUCCAGUUGGGUCCAGCGAGACGCCGGAUGCGACCCCCUGAGAUGGGGGACGGCGCGAGCCCAAGGCACUGGGCGCCGUUCGUUUCUCGUACCUAAGGGCUGGUGCCAAGGCGCCCGCCCUUCUAUUGCCUCUGAGGCUCUGGUUCUGCCCUCCCUGGGCCACUUUCAGCCCCCCUUUUCCUCGGCCAUGCCUCUUCCUCCCCGAAGCAUCCCCCUCUCCAUUUCACUUGCGAAUCUGGCGAAUCUGGC